GCCAAAGCUCCUAACAUUUCAAUAUAGUAAACAAGAUAUUUUUUUCGCAUAUGUUUAAUUACCAAAUUCGCAUAAUAAAGAUGCCAUAAGGGAGCUUCAACAUGAGUGCUUGGUUAUUCACAACUGGCCUAAGUAUCUGCUGACACACAUGGCUCAUCUAUUUUGUGUUUGCCAAUGACAAGCUCAUAUGUAUGUAUGAUCGUGUAUAUAUGUAUAUAAAUAUCAGUGCACAUGGGGGUGUGUGUGUUUAUAUAUGAAAAGUUAUCAUUCACUUGUUGAUUUACCAAAAAACUGUACAACAAGGUCCAUCACUAACACAUUUACAGAUGAGGCGUCACAUGAGGUUACCCCAGAAGAUGAUGUAGACAUGAGUGGUAAUGAAAACCAAAGAACACAUGUGGACGAUACGAGUCUAUUGCAACAAAAUGUUACACCUUCUGAAGGAAAGACUCAACAAGUCCAAAAGAAGAAGAGUGGCCCUACCCAAAUGAAGAAUUUGAACGAAGUCAUUGCUCCAAUUGAAGUAAAGUUUAAUGAAAUGGGACAAUCACUAUUUGUCACUUUAUCUUCCUUUCUUGGUCGUCUUGUGAGGGAGAUUGUACCGUAUACUCUUGUUGACUGGCGAUAUCUUUCAGAUGAUAUGAAACUUGUUAUGUGGAAAGAUAUUCAGCAAAGGUUCAAAGUAUAUGAAGAGUGGCAAAAAGACUACAUUUUUAAAGAAAUGGGUGGUCUCUGAAGAGCGUUGAAGUCUCGACUUGUGAAAAAGAUUAGAGAAGCACCAAAUGAAGCUGAAAGAAUGAAACUCAAACCUGAUAAUAUACUUAAACCCCAACAAAGGAAGAAGUUUGUGUAGGGAAAGACGAGUAUAUAAUUUAUGGUUAAAAGCCAAAGAUUUAGAGAAAUUCAAGAAAAACAAAUCACACACACAUGCAGUCGCAAGGGAUUUGCCAGAUUACGUGAAGCAAAAGAAGAGCAGCAAUCCAUCUUCUAUAGGUCAUAAGGAGGUUUGGGCAGCAGCACAUAUAAAAAAGAAUGGUGAACCUAUAUGCAAACUUGUUGAAGAGACACUUG